GAAAUUCGCCUUCAUGAAGCUGGAAUUGCUAGUAAUGGCAGGUCAGCAUACUGCCGUGAAUACGUUCCCGGGCCCUUGUACACACCGCCCGUCACACCAUGAGAGUCGGAAAUGCCCGAAGUCUGUGACCUAACCGCAAGGGAGGAGCAGCCGAAGGCAGGUCGGAUGACUGGGGUGAAGUCGUAACAAGGUAAC
rnacentral:rRNA from 1 species